rnacentral:lncRNA from 1 species
ACUCACUGAAAAGGGCUGUAAGACCUACUUAUGAGCUUCUUUACACAAUUAUAUUUUUCAUCAAAUCAUUCUUAACUGAGAUUUUUCUUUUGUCCCCUGCCAGGAUUUUACAUCUGGCUUAUGGAGAGCUCUUGAACACUUUACAGCUGUCAUCAAGUCAUGAUGUGUGUCCAUUUGAUUCUGAUUUCUGCAGCAAGAUGCAGGUUGUCACGGUGCUGAAGCUGCAGUGAGAGCAGCAGUCCCUGCCCUCCGAUGUCACUGUCAUAUUCUCUGAAAAAUCCUUUCACCGGGAUUUCUUCUUCUGGGAAGCUGAGAAGCCUCAGGUAAAAAGGAAAACAAUAUUAUCUCAUUUGUU